GCGUGUGUGUGAGAGAGAGACCGUGUGUAUGAGAGAGACCGUGUGUGUGUAUGAGAGAGAGACCGUGUGUGUAUGAGAGAGUGAGCGUGUGUGUAUGAGAGAGUGAGCGUGUGUGUAUGAGAGAGAGACCGUGUGUGAAUGAGACUGUCGGUGUGUUCGAGUCCUUUUCUACUACAUACACAUUGAUCUUAUUUGAUCGCCCGGGUGUUGGCGCCUGCGCCCGUGGUGACAUGAGAAUACCCCUCUGGCUAUGCCCCCUGGUUGUGGGGCUGUGUGCCCGGAGACUGCCUCUACAGGCCGCCGCUGUGGAAGUGAUGAAUUGAUCAGAUAUACUAAACUGCGUCAGCGGUUUAUGAGUAUACAGGCGAUUCUGAUCCGC